UGGUCAUCACGUGGCCCCUACCCCUCUCCCCUGGGCUUAGCAACCGUGCUGCUGACAGGCCUCAGCCUCAUACUGAGACCCCCGCUGGCCCAGGCCUGCCCUGCGAGGGCUUGGAGGCCCCAGUGGAGGAGCCUUGGGGAGACUCAUGUGCCCACUGAGUAUGUACCCCUUAGGGACAGCCUUUUGUCCUAUGAAGACCUUAGUCCUGUGGGCUCUGGGGAAGGAGCUGAUCCCAAGGAGAAAGCCAUUACCUGGGGAGAGCCAUUCCCUGUGAAGAUCCUAGAGGACUUCAGCAUCCGUACCCUCUACGACAAGCUUGAGGACCAGAGCCUGCAUGUGGCAGCCCAGCUGAACAAGCACAGGAGUGAUGCACUAGCCUUCUACAGGGGUGCAAGCCAGCAGCUCCAGGGCCUCAAGGCUGCACUGCCAGUGUCUCACUCCUGGACUUUCAGCCAGAGCUUGACAGAGUGA
rnacentral:lncRNA from 1 species